GAUUCCAUGCAUAUAGCUGCAUAGAGAACCAGAGCAUUAUAUUUUGUUUUAAGGAGUAACAACUCCUGAAUUCUAAAAACCUUUGCUGGAAAGGCUACAGCCCGAAGGUGACCAAAUGAACGUGCACAUGAGUUCUUAAAUUCCUUCAUAUUCUUUCUGAAAUAAGAUAAAAAUUUUCAUGCUGAAGUGAGUAUCAAACUGAUGGAUUGAGAAAAACACCAGCACCAAAUAUUAAGAAGUGCAGAUCAUAAAAGGGAAGUUAUGCAAAUGAAGACCAUUUAUCCAAUAGAUGAUCACACAAGUUCUUAAAAUUAUUGUUGAUGGUUUACUCAUUCUUUAUGACAGUACAAGGAUCUGAAAAAACACCUUCUAGUCUUCAACUCUAGGUCAAGAACCAAAAAGAUGUGCAGACUUAUAGUAGAAAUAAGAAGGAAAGCUCAAUAACAUCUUGGAAACCCAUGAUUCAAAAAGUAUCACCAUCCAAAAGGGUCAAAUAUCAGGCACCUUAACAUAAGCUAUAGAAGAUGAAGUGAUUUCACCAAAACCAUUACUAACGAAUAGAUAGAUAACUAAAUCAACCAUGUCUUGAGGGGAAAAAGAGAAAUGGGUUGGAUUCAGUCAAUUCUGUACAUUAGACUAUUAAUAUUAAUCUAGAAUGUACAUUAAGGUGGUUAUAGUUUACGUUGUACCUAUAAAGUGUAUCUUAUCAUUGAUAUUGACUCAAUUACACGAUCGUAAACAGAAGGAUCUUUUACCUCCUUUGGAGUUCAAUUUAGACAUUUAUAAAUACAAUUGGUAAUAUGAAGAAAGUAGAUACCUACGAUCGAUUUUUUUUCAUGAUCAGGACAGCUGUAAAAUUACUUCCUUCUAUGUUCGCAAAGCACUAUAUUUAGGAAGAUGACAUGAAAUAUUUGUUUUUAUACUUUACAUUCAAUAAAUACAUAAUAAUUGUUAGUUCUUUCAACAGGUGGGAGAGUUUGCAGGCAUAGCAGUUGGAGCUACAGUCAUGCUCAAUAUUCUAGUGGCCGGUAUUUCCGCAAAUCAAAGAAGGUGCAAGAAGCAUGAAUACCUAUUUCAAUAGAAGGCUAGGGUUCAAUCGAAAGCGGUCGGAGCAGUCGUAGUCAGAGCAGUAGACGAUCGAAUCAAUGGUGGUCGGAGCGGAUAGUCGGAGCAGUCGAUCGGAUCACCGAUUUGAGAUGCAGUUGGCACUGGUGUGAAAUUUUUGUUAAUUUUCAAAUGCACUAGAGCACUAAUUUGAAGAUUCAAAGCACUGAUUUUAAAAUUUGGACCACUGAUUUGAAGAUUGGAGAUCCAUAGUGUCCAAUUUGAAGCAGUCGGUUGAAACUUUUCUUUGUUAACCCAAGUUUUGUCGAGAACCCAAAGUCGAUCAGUACCAUUUAUUUAAUUUUCUUUAAUUUUUGAUAUAUAUUUCAUUGAAUUGUGGCGCACUUGGUGAAAAAUUGGGGAGGGAAAUAAUUUAAGUCGAUGCAAUAGUUUUUUUUUAAAUUUAAGUGUUGUCAUAGGUGGCUGUAUGACAACACUUCAUGUAAGGGAUGUUAUUCCUAUUGCAAUGAUUAAUAAUAGUAACCGUUG